rnacentral:lncRNA from 1 species
GGUGGGGACAGGGACAGAGCCAUGGAGACAGGGACAGAGCCAUGGGGACAGGGACAGGCCAUGGGGACAGGGACAGGCCAUGGGGACCCGGGCGGGGGGCAGGGACAAAGAGGGGACCGGGACAGGCCAUGGGGACAGGGACAGAGCCAUGGGGAUAGGGACAGGCUGCAGGGACAAGGAUAGAGCUUUAGGGACAGGUUAUAGGAACAGGGAUAGAGCCCCGGGAACAGAGCUGUGGGGACAGGCCAUGGGGACAGGGACAGAGCCAUGGGGACAGGGAUGACAGAGCUAUGGGGACAGGCCAUGGGGAUGGGAACAAUCAAUGGGGACAAGGGCAGAGCUGUGGGGACAGUGACAAGCCGUGGGGACAGGGGGUACAGAGUCAGGGAGACAGGGAGAAACUGCAGGGAUGGGGACAGGGACACGGCCAUGGGGAGAGGGAGGAAGAGCAGAACCCGGGGCAUGGUGGUGGUGGCGGCUCUCAGAGGGGGCUGUGGAGGUGGGAGAAGGACAGAGAAGGUCAGACCCCCGUGGCUGCAGCCCCCCGUGCCCACUUUGUGCCCCGGCUCCUCACCCGCUCGCCGCUGUCCCCUGCCCUGUCCGGUUGUCCGGUCACUGCGGCCAGGCCGGCCCCGUGACCCCUUUAUAGCCGUGGUUAUCUGGGAGUUGCGACACGGGGACAGGGACUGGGCACUCCCUGGGGCCAGGGCGGCUCGAGCCCCCAGCCCCCCUGCAGACCCACACACACCCAAGGAGGGCAAAAGUCACUUUUAUUUAUUUAGGCCCUGUCUAGAUUUAAAAAGUUUUAAGAAAAAAAAGAACCCGAAACCCCAACAGCUGAGGGAAAAGGGAGGGAAUUCAGGGUAAAUGGUGACAGCAGGGGAAGGGGGGGAAGGUGGAGAAACUGGUUGCUGGUGCAGCCUUUAAGAACAGCAUCAAAACCUGCAGAAGGAAAUCUGCAGAAACCCCAGAAAAUCUGUAGAAACCCAAGAAAAACUGCAGAAAAGCUGCAGCAAUCCAAUAAAAUCUGCAAAAAGCCCA